rnacentral:rRNA from 1 species
GUCUAUGGCCAUACCACCCCGAACGCGCCCGAUCUCAUCUGAUCUCAGAAUCCAAGCAGGGUCGGGCCCGGUUAGUGCCUGGAUGGGAGGGACGACCGGGGAAACGCAGACA